ACCCUCCUCUCACCAACCCCCCAAGCAAAGUCUUAUCAGUUUAGUUCAUUUCUGUGCCAAGAUAGGGAGUCAGAGAACAAUCUCUCCUUGUGGUUACUUUUUACUUCUUAUCCUUAUUCCUAAGCAUUGUCUUGGGGCCUGGGCUGGGGCCCCCAUCUGGGAGCCCUGUUCUAAAGCUUUAAAGUCUUGUGUAUCAGUUGGCAGAAGGGGAAAGAGACAGUGGAGGAGCCACUUCAGAUUCAUAAAAUCUCAGCUUAGAGAUAUUUCACCAAAUUAAAUCCUCCAAAUUGACUACACUGAAGAAUGGAUGCAAGA